UGACCUUUUAUAUUAAAUAGGAAUGUAAGCCUGUUUAAUCUCUGCGAAGACAUUUUUGUCCAGGAACGCGUACCUUUGUUUGUGGUCAGGUGGCAGGUGUAGGCAAUGCAUCAGGCUGCCUGCUUCCCACUUAUUAUGGGAUUGCUCUGAAGCCCCAGGCUCAUUACGUACAGGGCAUCGUUAUUAGAUGGCGGCACUAUUUUUCAUCCUCCCUGAGGAUGACUUUUAGCAUAGGGCGGAAGGUCACAAAAGCAAGUGCUGCCGAACUUCGACCUCAGGCUGAGCAGAGUGCUGAGAUGGGAAAGUCCAGGAAUCCACACGCUCGGGCGCCCGGCCUUCCAGGAGGCUGAGCUCUGACCUUGAGGCCCUGAGAAGGCGAGAAGAGUUCGCGGCGUGGCUGGGUUUUUAGUCUCACCAGGAGUCCUGCUUUCCUGGGGACAGGUCAGCAGCAGCUUGGCCCGUGCGCGUUCAGGGAAGAGCGCGCCUGCUCAGGAAGCCCUGAGCCAGACCGGCGGUGGAAGCGCCAAGUGGACGGUGGAAGCGCCAGCCGGGCGCCCCCAGGUCACACCCGCUGCCCGCAGGCCGCCCGCCGCGUCCGCGCCCCGGGAUUCCCGCGCUCAGUCGGUUCCCCGGGAGUCGCCAUAGCAACGAACGCCAGGUUCUGGACUCCGCAGGAGGCGCACGGCCCAGCGGCCACCUCCGCGGCUCCCAUGGAGAGCUGUGGCGACGCGCCCGAGACCGAGGAGUGCUGGAAGAUCAUCGAGAGCCUGGAGUCCACUAUUGAACAGUUCCGCUCCAGCCCCAGAUUUAACAUUUCAGAUGAUUUGAAGAUUGGCUUUUUCAUCACAGACCAUGCUACUCAAACAGAUUCCAGUGAGAUUUUGCAAUUACAGGAGUUGAGUUCAUCUACACAAAAGCUUGUGCAGGUUAUUAAAUCUCUUCAAGUGGAUUUUGGGUUCCUCAAGCAAUUGCUUCACCUGAAGUUUGAGGACCGUCUUAAAGAGGAAUCAGGCAGACUCUUCACUUCUCUACAUGACAGGAUCCUGACAGUUGAAAAACGUUACCAGCAGAAUGAGGACACCUUAAGAAAAUGCUACAAUCAGCAGCUGGCCGACGCCAUAGCUACUAUCAAAGGAAUGUACAAGCAGUUCUUUGAGGCGGAAGACAAGAAGACAUCUGUGCAGGACACAAUGACUGCCAGGCUGAAUCUCUUGUUAAGGAAACUGAGGGAGAAAGAAGAACUUAUUAAGGAAUUACGAGAAGAACUAGACCAAUUUGAAGAACACGGAUUUCAGAAAGUUGACUCUUUUAUCAAAGACACCUGCCCUCUAAGAGCAACUCUAGAAAGGGAAAAUUUGGAGUACAAAAUGGAAAAUGAGAGACUGCUUCAAGUCAUUUCAGAACUCGAAGAAGAAAUCAAACUCAAUCUAAAAGAAAAUUCAAUAUUAGAAGAUGAAAUUAUAAGUCUGAAAGAGACAGCCGAAAAGGAUCAUAAAACCAUUCAAAAGCUAAUUGGUGGUAGAGACAAAUUAAUAUAUGAGCUUGAGUUUGAAAAAUCAUUAGUUCAAGAAAUGGUUAAUAAACAGAAAGAAGACAUUGAAAUGAGAAAAAAGUUUGAUACCAUAGGCAUCAAGAGUCCCAGAGCCGUCAAAGGAAAAGAAAUCACUUUGUCCCCAUGGCCCUCCCAGCCCAAGAGUGCAGGUGUUUUUAGGCCUCAUUCUUCUUCCAUCGCUUCACUGACUCCAAAAACCAAAAGAAUCAAGAGUCUAAAGAAGGCAGCAAAGGAAGAGCAGCCUAUGGUUAAACAUGUAAUACCUGCUGUGAUGCAUGGAGAAGAGGCAGGACUAUCAGUGGCUAAGAUCGAAGAAGAGAAACAUGCUUUGGAAGAGCAAGUAGAAAUAUUAAAGGCUAAGUUAGAGAGAGCGAGAAAGAAGUCAGAAAGGUUUAAGAAGGAAUUGGAUCAGAUAAGCAAAAACUGGGAAAAGAAAUUAUUAAUUCUCAGAAACAGCUUUCAUGUCCUUAAGAAUGAGAUGUUUACUCGGCACACGUUGUUUCGGCAGUUUGCGGUGCUUGCUGAUACAUCCUUCAAUUAUGUUAAAGUGAAACCUUUAUUUGUGCAGUCCAAAAUGAACUUGAUAGCAGAGUCAGCGUCUUCUGAAAGUAUUUUUCAGUCAGCUUCGAUAGACAACAAGGGGGCAGACAUAGUCAGUGAUCAGUUAUCCCUCCCACAUUCACCAAAAGUGAGGUUGUCGGAACCCCUGGAAGAAGACCUUUUGGAGAAGCCAUCCGUGCCCCAGAACACCCCAGCGGACGGUCUGGAUGCUCCUCCUGAGUAGCGCCACACAACACUGGGCCGAGCGGAGCUGGACCCCAGAAAGAGGGCCCUCCCCAUCCUGGCGCGAGGCCUGCCUCCCUCGUGAGGGAUACUGUCUCCAAGGCGCUUCUAAAUGAACGGCUCCGUCUCUCCAGAUGUCGUGCGCUCACUGGAGCACCGCCCUUGAGAAGGCGAAGGGCGCCCUCUUUGCACCUUCCCAGGCCCUCGGUCUCCCUAUACCAGGAAGUCAAACCGAUCUGCUGUCUCCUCGCCUGCCAGCUGAUCCCCAUAGAGGCGAGCCGUAAAACCCCCAAAGAGGGUUUCCGUUUCCUCUAAGCAGGUCCACUCUUCCAUAGGCACGGGGCUCCUAGACGUAUCUUAAAUGCCGAUAACAGUUCUUUAGUAAGUAUGGAAACUCUUUGGAGUUUUGCUUCCCGGUGAGUGUCUAGAUGAAGAUUCUUCCAAGUGUCGGUUCUUUACGGAAUGUCCAGGGCCGGUUCCUGCAAGUCCCGGUCGCUUUCUUCCGUGCGUAAAGGUCGACUCGGUCCUUUCCGGUCCCCUAACUGCAAGUCGGGCGCAGGCUGUAGCUCACUCUGAAGGUGGUAGGCACUGGAGUCCGGAUUUCUAAGGCUAUUGAUGAAAUCUCAAGAAAUGUAUUUGUGGUAGCUGUCACAUAAAGCUGAUCUACCCUGGUACAAAAGAAAGCGAGAGAGGCGAUUUAUUUGUGCGUAAAAGGCAGUGGGUUUAAUUGGAGAGAGAGACGUGUUACUUUCACCGCAAGUACAUGGGGUGGCAUGGCGGUGGAGCAUUAUUCGAGCUUCAUCUACUAUGCACUAUAUGCCACCGUCUCCAAAGGAGUGUUGCCCUAGAAACUUGUUUUAAAUCUGCUGCUAUAUAUCAACACCUUGUUUUAGCAGUCCUUGGCUGAAUUACAGUUACACAGUUUGGCGCUUCUUUCAAAUUUCCUCCCAUCAGUUUGGCUAAAGAAAGGAAUUUUUCUCCUUUAGAAAUGAAUUGGCUUAAUUAGUAAGUAGAUUAAUGGCAAUUGCUGGUGAGUUGGUUUCCAGCAGAGUUUCACCAGAGAGGGUUAAUCGGAGUCAGGUCUGGAAUCUUUCCCAGAACUGGCUGCCAGCCAUUUCCACCAACCAAUCAACCCUACAAGAAACGGAGGAAAUGAAAUAGAAUUUAUAUUCUCUGUGCUAUUAUCCUGGACGGAAAUUCCUUGGAAGCAGCCACCUGGUUGGGUGUAGAACAGACUGUUUCAUUUCAGAAUUUUCACAGAAACUUUGAAAGGUUUAUCUGGUUACCCAAGAAGAAUUUCAAAUGGCACAAUGAGCGUCUCCCAGAAAGCGCAUGGAAAUGCCUGAGAGUCUCAGUCAAUUUCAGGUUUUACAGAAGUUGUACAAACCUCUCAAGUCCCACCCUAAAUCUUGUCAACCAGAAGCCUUUACAAAGUUUAGUUGUAUGUUUUGCAGCCUUUUCACUUAUUUUUUUCAUAGUGAUAAAAAUGCAUUCAUAGUUUAACUUGCAGCUGCAUUACUCUUGCAAAAAAAAAAAAAAAUCCCUGCUGAGAAAUGCAUAUAAUAGGAAAAACAGAUCGGCUGGACAGCAGUGUAAUUAAUGCCAGAAAGGGCUGAGGCCGGUUUCAUAGUUUGUCUUUUGAGGAUAUCAAGACGAGACCUGGUGAAAAAUGACGCAUGCUUUAGCAUUUCAGAAAGCUGGCAACUGGCAGCGCUUUUCCUUUUUUCUUUGACUUUCUGCCUCUGAACAAAGAGGUCGGCAGAACUAGCUAGGUUGUAAUGAGUUCUAUGUCCCUAGCACAUUAAGUGCAUCAUGGAAACAUAUUGUAUCGAAAUAGUUUGGAGGAGAAUACCGGGGAUGAAAGAGAAUGGGUGCUUUGAUCAGCUCCCUGGGGUCCUGAGCGCGCACAGACUGACUUGCAAGGCGUUAUUCAGCUCCAGCUAGACACACUUACAACACCAUUCAAAGAAAUUUGCAUAUCUGUAAUUUAUCACAUUGGUCCAGAACAUUUUUGCAAGGUAAAUAAAAGUUGGCUGAAUUAAAAAAAAUCAAUCAUCGCAGAUAUAGUGGAAACUGUGAAGCCUGUCUCCAUUAAAAACGUAAAAAAUAUGUCCAUAAAACAUGAUGAUUUAGAGCCUGACUUUAUUACAAAAUGUCCUUAGAGCAACAGGUUAUGCGCUGACAAAGACAAGAGUGGCCGCAGUUUCUUUGCGCUUCUACUUUAGGGGAGUGUAUUUGCAGUUUCCCACUGGAAUAAAGGCAGAAAGUUGAAUAGAUGUGUGUGGCUAUAACCAGCCUGCGACAUGCAGAGAAAAAUUAGUACACACUUUGAGGAGAUGUGAAAGAUGGCUUCAUUUCCUUGGUGUCUGCAAGGGCUAAGUUAAAUCUCAUUUCUUCUGCUGUUGAUUUCAUUGCCAAGCCCUGGUUGCUGAAUUUAGAAGCUCUAGAGGAUGAAUUGUCCCGACACCCGGUCAAUAGGAAAACUUGCUUUGGAAUGCCCCAUGAGAACAAGUGAAAACUUAACAGGCAGGCAUUGUUCUGAGUUUUUAAACAACCCAGUUAAACAGCAAACAAGAAUCUUCAACUUGACCUUGGAAAAGGCUGUGUGCCUGUAGAUAAUCUAUCAAACAACUCUGGAUGACAAUGAUAUAUUUCAAAGUAUUGUCAGAUGAAAAGAUUGAUAAAUUUGCUGCUGCAGAGGGAGAACUUUGGAAACAGGCAACAGGCAAUUUAGCGCGCUCCCUCUGCCGCCACCUCCUCUGUCCCUGCUGCCCCGUCCCCACCCUGCCACCCCCCAGCCUUGGGGCCAACUCUAUGGAAGAGGGCCAGUAAAUCAGCACUGUAAUAUUUCUUAAGGGGCACAGAAAAGCUGUGACCAGUACUUCUCAUAUUAAACGCAAUAUUUCUUUGCUUUCGUGGGGAACAAAAGUCAUAGCAAGACGUCUUUAUGGCUAAUUCAGUCAAAGGCACAUCUCCGUUCCCCCUGCAGAAAGGUCAGUGUCGUUGUGUUUGGUCCACCAAGGGGGUGUUUUCACGCUGAAAACUGAGCCAGCUGUCCCUGUCAUACCCUCGCCAUUGGGGAGCACGCACUAGCCAUGGUUAUUAGGCACAUUCUACACCUGCAAAAAUACCGAUUUCCAAGACUUUUCAAGACCCCCCCCCAGUUCUCAUGGCCCCUCCUUUUUCGUCUACUAAACUUUGACAACACAAUUCAAGCCCUGGAUGAAAGCACCGCAUGCGAGAGCAAGGCUGGGGAGGGGACGGCUCAGCUAGCCUCUGGUGGUGUCUAUUGAGCAGCCAUCAAAGAAAUGAGGCGUCAAGGAUGUUUUCAAAAGUAUGGAAAAACUUCCAAAUAAUUGCUUAGAGGCAUCUCACAUUUGCUAUUCCCGCACAUGCUAAUUGUUGAACCCCAAUAUUUAGAUUUAUGCACCAGAGUUAUGGGGGUGGGGAGAGCAGCCUGGAGUCCUUCACCCUUUACAAAUUUUACUUGCAGUUAUCAUGUCCCUGACCAUGAAGGUAAUUUUUUUCUGAAUUGCACCAAUUCGAGUCCCUUUUUGAAAAUCCAAAUGUCAGCACACUGUGGCUAUCCAUUUCACAACACUUGCCCAAUUGGAUUUCAUCAUAAAACUCCUAGAAACACCCACUUAGCUAGCCUUCUCACAGGAAAUCAAUUCCAAAGGCUUGCACUCCAAAGACAGGUGACUACCUAGUUGUUUGGGGGACAUUCAGGGGCCCAAACAAGAAAGAAGUUAAAGGGGAUCGUGUGCAGUCGCUGAAAAGAAAUCAUAAAACUAGUAAGAAUUCAGGAAAAUUCAGUUUAAGAGUGAGAAUGUCCCAGGUGCCAGUUCCUCUAA